rnacentral:lncRNA from 1 species
CUAACAACAGAGACAAUUCUAAUAUAAUUUUAACCUAAUUUUUACUCAUCAUUUGUUGUAAAAUUUUUGAAUAAAAUGCCAUAUACUAAAAGUAAUCGUUACAUAAGCAAUUUCACAACAAUGAUAAACAAUUUCAAAAAAAAUAAACAUGUUAAUACAAGAUCAUUUAUGCCAUGACGUUCUAAAAACAGCUUUGACAUUUUGAAAAAAAAAAAUACCACUUGUUUCAAGUCCUCAAAAAGUGUCCUGAUUCUUUGAUUAAAGUCCCAUAACUCUUGGUAAGCAAAUUUGGAGAUUCUAAAUAUUGAUCAUCAAGCCCUGCAACAACAGAGGAAAGUUUGAGUAAAAUUUAUCAAAGUCUACUUGUGUAAGAGAGUAAUAUAUUUUAAAAUCAUUUCUGACUGUUUUAAAUUAAGUCCAAUAACUUGAAUAAAAAGCUUAAGAAAAAAAAAAAAAAUCAAAAUUAAAAGGAUGCUUUCUUCCAUGGAUUCAAAUAUCCAAUUCAAUGUUCCUGUAAUUUGAUCAAAACAUUUUAUAGCUUUUGUAAAAAGAUGAUCUCUGUUGGAUGCAUGGACAAAUAAAAAACAAUAGUAUAUAUAUAACCAUAAUGUGUCCCAUCUAUGAUAGAUAUAUAAAGAUGGAGAAAGUCUCUAUAAAUGUACAACAUGGCAGUUUCACAGCUAAUUUAAAAUAUGCCCUAAAUGUAAUAAAAACAAAUGAGUCAUUGUAAUUUUAUUUGAUAAACAAAAGACGAUUUGAAAUAUAUACUUACACUUAAAAUUUGUGAACUUUUACCGUGUAGGAUAUUUUUUUAACUGUAGGGAAGUAAUAAAUAUUUUAAAAAUUUAAAAACCAACUCUUUAUAUCAUAAUGGCUUCUUCUUGUUAAUUUCAUCAUGUACUUAAUGCAUCAACCAAAGACGUUUUAUGAUUAUUAUUAAAAUUUGAAUCCUGAAACUGCAGUUACUUAAAACUGUCUGCUACAUUAGUAUGAAAACAUAUGAAUUAACUUAACAUUUUCCCUUUAAUUUUUUGGCUUUCAAUGAUUAAAAUUUACCUCCUACAAAUCAUUUCUUUAAUGAUGGAAGCAUGAGAAAUGGCACAAAUUUUAUCAUAAAAAUUGCACAAAAUUGUAAUGUCAUUCAGUCGUCAAAAUAAGUAAUGGCUAUAAAGACCCUGUUUCAAAAAAAGAUUUUUUGUCAGCACUUGUUUCACAAAUACAUGUACUCUGAAAUGACCUAGGAUUUAUCAUAUACUCAAGUUUUUAACAAACUUUAGCAAAAAUAAAAAUAAAAAUUUGUUGCACUAAUAAAUUUCAAACAUACAAAUACCACUACAUAGAUAAUUUAAGUGUGUAUUCCUAAUGGGAAUAAAAGCAUUAAUUCAUGGCCUCCAUUACUUUCUAUUCUAAAUUCUAUAAUUUCCAGUUUUCAUAGCUAUGUGUUUUUAAUUUAUAAAGUAACAGUCCUAAACAAUACCUUCCCCUGGUGUAUGCUGUUUAAAUCAACAUAUGGUUAUAUUAAUAAAGAGCCAAUGGUUCCUGGAAGUUCAGAAGUUGCAAAAACAGCUGCUUCUGAUCUGAUAAACAGGCAAAGAAUGCCAUGUAUUCUAAUUUCAUACAAAACAAACAUUCAUCAAGGGUUCAGUUGUGAUUCCAGAUCUCAUACAAAAAUUACCCACAUUUCCUACAUAUUCUAAAAUUGAAAGCUAUGUGUAAGAACUGUUUGUUUGAAAUACAUGUAGAUAGAUGUACUAGAUUCUAAUAUAUUCUUCAUCACCAGGCCCAAAUUAGUGGUUCUAUGCUAUUAUGAUUAUUUGCUAAAUAUGGUCCCAAAUAAAAAAUAUAACAUAAUAGAAAUAAUAGCAUAAUAAGAUGAUGUCAUCUGGAAAAAGCAAAAAUACCAUGUAUCAUACAACCUUGUAGAAAUAUAAAGAAUAUUCGAAAGACAUUUAUUACAUACAGAAAUAUAAAUAAAAAUUUAAAAAAGCAAUUUAAAAGUCAAUAUUAUAUGUAUAUAUU